rnacentral:lncRNA from 1 species
UUUUUUUUUUUUUUUGAGAUGGAGUCUCGCUCUGUCGCCCAGGCUGGAGUACAGUGGUGUGAUCUCGGCUCACUGCAAGCUCCGCCUCCCAGGUUCCCGCCAUUCUCCUGCCUCAGCCUCCCCAGUAGCUGGGACUACAGGCGCCGCCACCGCGCCCAGCUAGUUUUUUGUAUUUUUUGGUAGAGAUGGGGUUUUACCGCAUUAGCCAGGAUGAUCUCGAUCUCCUGACCUCGUGAUCCACCCGUCUCGGCCUCCCAAAGUGCUGGGAUUAAAGGCUUGAGCCACCGCGCCCGGCCCGCAAAUUCUUAAAAUCCAUUUUUGUUAUGAUGGUCACAGACUUUUGAAGUUAUUAAAAAUUACAAUGCUUUUAGAAAAUGUGCAUUCAUUUGAAAAAUUAGUUUCAAGGAACUGACUUAAAACUAUCGUGGCAAGAAUAAUAACAGCAAAACCUUUGUUAAAGGAAAUUAUCUCUGUCAUUAAAGUCUAAAUAGAACUUUUCAUUUUCUCUGAAACUCAUUUUAAUGUUGCAGUAUAAUGGCAAUUCAACUCAGCAUUUUGUUGUUCUAAGAACUCAACGUGAGACUCAUAGAAGUGAUUAUUAAGGGAGUAAUUAUAUUUCAAAAAGAAACUGCUUGAUGAAAUGAUUGAAUUAUAGUGACAAAUGACAAAUCAUUGCCUAAUGCUGUGGUUUCAACGUGUCCCCAAGUUCAUGUGUUGAAAACUUAAUUCUAACAGUAUGAAGAGGCGGGACCUUCAAUAGGUGAUUAGGUGGCGAGGACUCCUCCCUCGUGAACUGAUUAAUGCCAUUAUAGCGAGAGGGCUAGUGAUCGUGGGCGUGGGCUCCGGAUACAGGGUGAGUUUGGCCCCCGUUUUCUCUCUGGGUCAUGUGCUCUCACCAUGCGAUGCUGCCCACCAUGGGACGACCCUCACCAGGUGCCGCGCGGCCUCUUGGACUUCCCAGCCUCCAGAACCAUGAGCCAAAGGAGCUUCUUUUCUGUAUAAAUUACCCAAUCUGUGUAGUCUGUUACAGCAGCAGAAAGCAGACUAAGAAGCCUAAUUAACACAACAGAGUGUGAGUGUGAGCAUGUGUGUAAGAGUAUAUGUGAAUGUGUGUGAGAGCAUGUGUGUGAGAGGAUACGUGACUGAGUGUGAGCAUGUGUGUGAGCAUAUGUGUAUGUGUGAAUGUGAGCAUGUAUGUGAAUAUAAAUGUGACUCUGAGUGUGAGUAUAUGAGUGUGAGUUUGUGAGUAUAUGUGAGUCUGUGUGAGCAUGUGUGUGUAUGAGUGAAUGUGUGAUCAUUGUGAAGCUAUAUGUGUGUAUGAGUAUAUGUGAGUAUAUGAGUCUGUGUGUGAGUACAUGUGUUAGUGUAUAUGUUACUGUGAGUGUUAGCAUGUGUGUAAGUGUAUGAGUGUGAGCAUUUGAGUAUAUGUGUCAGCAUGUGUGUGAGUGUAUGUGUAUGACCAUGUGUAUGUGUGUGAGUGAAAGCAUGUGAGUAUAGGUGUGUGAGUGUGUGUGUAUGUAAAUAUGUGUGAGCAUGUGUUUUGAGUAUAUGUGUGUGAGCAUGCAUGUGCGAGUAUGUGUGUGAACGUGUGUGUGUGUGAGAAUGUGUGUGGGUGAGUGUGAGUGCAUAUUUGUGAGUGUGUGAGCAUGUAUGUGUGAGUGUAUGAGUGUGUGAGCAUGUGUGUGAGUGUGUAUGUGUGUGAGCAUGUAUGUGAGUGUAUGAGCAUGUGUGAGCGUGUGUGUGUAUGUGACUGUGUGUGCUGGGAAAUGUGAAGGUGCGUGGGAAUCUUGAAGAUCAAGAAUCAAAUAAGAUAAAUAUUUCCAAAG